rnacentral:miRNA from 1 species
UCUGCUAGGAGGCUGUGUAUCCU